rnacentral:rRNA from 1 species
UUGAACUCGCUGUGAAGAUGCAGUGUACCCGCGGCAAGACGGAAAGACCCCGUGAACCUUUACUAUAGCUUGACACUGAACAUUGAGCCUUGAUGUGUAGGAUAGGUGGGAGGCAACGAAGCGUGGACGCCAGUCUGCGCGGAGCCAUCCUUGAAAUACCACCCUUUAACGUUUGAUGUUCUAACCCGGGUCCAUAAUCUGGAUCGGGGACCGUGUCUGGUGGGUAGUUUGACUGGGGCGGUCUCCUCCCAAAGAGUAACGGAGGAGCACGAAGGUUGGCUAAGCAUGGUCGGACAUCAUGCGGUUAGUGCAAAGGCAUAAGCCAGCUUGACUGCGAGAGUGACGGCUCGAGCAGGUACGAAAGUAGGUCUUAGUGAUCCGGUGGUUCUGAAUGGAAGGGCCAUCGCUCAACGGAUAAAAGGUACUCCGGGGAUAACAGGCUGAUACCGCCCAAGAGUUCAUAUCGACGGCGGUGUUUGGCACCUCGAUGUCGGCUCAUCACAUCCUGGGGCUGAAGUAGGUCCCAAGGGUAUGGCUGUUCGCCAUUUAAAGUGGUACGCGAGCUGGGUUUAGAACGUCGUGAGACAGUUCGGUCCCUAUCUGCCGUGGGCGCUGGAAGAUUGAGAGGGGUUGCUCCUAGUACGAGAGGACCGGAGUGAACGCACCACUGGUGUACGGGUUGUGAUGCCAAUUGCAUUGCCCGGUAGCUAAGUGCGGAAGAGAUAACCGCUGAAAGCAUCUAAGCGGGAAACUUGCCUCGAGAUGAGUCUUCCCUGACCCUUUAAGGGUCCUGAAGGAACGUUUGAGACUAAGACGUUGAUAGGCUGGGUGUGUAAGCGCAGCGAUGCGUUGAGCUGACCAGUACUAAUGAACCGUGAGGCUUAACCUGACAACACCGAAGGUGUUU